CGUAACGCGUAUGCAACCUACCUUCUACAGGGGGAUAGUCAAUAGAAAUGUUGAAUAAUACCCCAUACGAUCAUUAAUCUGCAUGGAUUGAUGAAGAAAGUUCCGGCGGUAGAAGAUGGGCAUGCGUCCUAUUAGUUAGUUGGUAAGGUAACGGCUUACCAAGACAUCGAUAGGUAGGGGUCCUGAGAGGGAGAUCCCCCACACUGGUACUGAGACACGGACCAGACUCCUACGGGAGGCAGCAGUGAGGAAUAUUGGACAAUGGAGGCAACUCUGAUCCAGCCAUGCCGCGUGCAGGAAGACUGCCCUAUGGGUUGUAAACUGCUUUUAUACAGGAAGAAUAGUAUCUACGUGUAGGUAUUUGACGGUACUGUACGAAUAAGGAUCGGCUAACUCCGUGCCAGCAGCCGCGGUAAUACGGAGGAUCCAAGCGUUAUCCGGAAUCAUUGGGUUUAAAGGGUCCGUAGGCGGUCUGAUAAGUCAGAGGUGAAAUCCUGCAGCUCAACUGUAGCAUUGCCUUUGAUACUGUUAGACUUGAGUUAUUGUGAAGUAGUUAGAAUGUGUGGUGUAGCGGUGAAAUGCAUAGAUAUCACACAGAAUACCGAUUGCGAAGGCAGAUUACUAACAAUAUACUGACGCUGAGGGACGAAAGCGUGGGUAGCGAACAGGAUUAGAUACCCUGGUAGUCCACGCCGUAAACGAUGGAUACUAGCUGUUCGAUCAACAUUGGUUGGUUGAGUGGCUAAGCGAAAGUGAUAAGUAUCCCACCUGGG
rnacentral:rRNA from 1 species